GAUGAACGCUGGCGGCGUGCUUAACACAUGCAAGUCGAACGAUGAAGCCCAGCUUGCUGGGUGGAUUAGUGGCGAACGGGUGAGUAACACGUGAGUAACCUGCCCUUAACUCUGGGAUAAGCCUGGGAAACUGGGUCUAAUACCGGAUAGGAGCGCCUACCGCAUGGUGGGUGUUGGAAAGAUUUAUCGGUUUUGGAUGGACUCGCGGCCUAUCAGCUUGUUGGUGAGGUAAUGGCUCACCAAGGCGACGACGGGUAGCCGGCCUGAGAGGGUGACCGGCCACACUGGGACUGAGACACGGCCCAGACUCCUACGGGAGGCAGCAGUGGGGAAUAUUGCACAAUGGGCGAAAGCCUGAUGCAGCUACGCCGCGUGAGGGAUGACGGCCUUCGGGUUGUAAACCUCUUUCAGUAGGGAAGAAGCGAAAGUGACGGUACCUGCAGAAGAAGCACCGGCUAACUACGUG
rnacentral:rRNA from 1 species